CAUUGAAUUUGUUUCAAGUUGGUCCAACACACUUUUAUUUAAUUUAUUCCUUUUUACUCUCAUUGUUUACCUUUUAUUUAGGACCCUAAAAAAAAAAAAUUCUCUUAAAGGUCAAACACCAGGGCUAUUCAUGUUAAUGUCAGGAUGGCUUCGUCAUCUUUACAGUGAACACAGCCUUAGAUAUUUUAUGUAAAUACAACUUUUUUUUAGAGCCUGUAGCAUAUGGACGUUCAGAGGUGCAGCUGCCAGCCUAUGCCACAGCCACAGCAAUGCAGGACAAGAGCCGUGUGGGCAAACUACACCACAGCUCAUGGCAAUGCCAGAUCCUUAACUCACUGAGUGAGGCCAGGGAUCAAACCUGCACCUCAUGGUUACUAGUAGGAUUUGUUUCCACUGUGUCACAACAGGAACUCCUAUACAAAUAUUUAAAAUAAGAAAAUAAAUGUAUAAUGGUGAGCAGAUUCUUGGAAUUCUACUUUCAAGAAUAUCAACCCAAACUUAAUACAAGAGUUUUGUAAGGUAGUAAAAUGUAAUAGGAAUAAAUAAGAUUAUGGAUGUAAAAUACUUGGAACAAAUAGCAAUGCUCAUAUUUAUUAAUUUUUAAGCUAUUUCCUUAGUUACUAACAAGUAUGUUUACUCGGCACAACAGUGUCCAUUUGGAGAAUGACUCUAAAUGGCUGGAAGAGGAAGUGAUGGGCCACAAGCCACAUAUACUUUCAACUUUACCAAAUACUGCCGAAUGGCUUGCUAAUUUACGUUUGUUGUGUAUUUUAAACAAAUCCAUAUAUACGCUAAUUUUCAAGAUUACUCCAAGAAGUAAGACAUACAUCUAUACUAUGCUAGAAGUUAAAAAAUACUUUAAUAGAAUUCUCUAUUUAAAUAUAAAUUUUUGAACAGAGAAAGUUAUAUUAACUGCUCUUUUCUAUCAGAGAUGAAAAUGUACCAGUGUUCAACAUAUAUCAAUUGAACAAGAACUGAAAAAUACUAAAAGCCAUAAAUUUUUUCAUUGAGCCUAUCACAACUCAUUACUAUCAGAACUUGCUGACUACUAUAUAUAUUGCAUACACGUAUUCCUAUAUAUGAGAUGAUAUUAGUCUUUUUUCUCAUUUUAUGCACUUCACUCAUAUAUUCAAUAAAAAUUGAAGACAAAAGCUCAGAAUUUCCAUAAAAAUUGUGUGGAUAGUGGAAAUAAAGGAACAAAUAGGAGGGAAUAACUUAUAAGGUAACCAAGAAGGAAAAAAUCAUUCCCAUCAAUAUUCAGUAAAGAAAAAAUCAAUACCAGAGAAACAAUGUAGAAAUUCAACAUGGACAGUCCUAACCCAGCGGUUGAUUUAAACUUUGGCUUUAUUAACCAAAACUUUGUAGGUAAUUUAAGUAAAAUAUAGUCUAUUCAUCUAAAGUACAUCACGUGAUAAUCCUAUCUCUUUCCUGAAAAUGGAAGGAAUUUUAUCUCAGUUUCUUCCAUAAGAACUUCGGCUUUUACUACAUAGCAUCUCAGGGUUAAAACUGAGGAACUGGACAUUGUACUUGUGACCUGCAGCUAUUAUGUGGAGUGGCUAUUCGAGAAUUUGCCCAUACCUGAAUAAUGCUUUCUGUGCACUUGAAAAAAGCAGUGGGCUUAUCUACCAGGAGGCAUACGUGGCCAGUGGGGAAGGGCUGAGCCUGGGAGAAAUGGA
rnacentral:lncRNA from 1 species